AACGAACGCUGGCGGCAUGCCUAACACAUGCAAGUCGAACGAGACCUUCGGGUCUAGUGGCGCACGGGUGCGUAACGCGUGGGAACCUGCCCUUAGGUUCGGAAUAACUCCCCGAAAGGGGUGCUAAUACCGGAUAAUGUCUUCGGACCAAAGAUUUAUGGCCUUUGGAUGGGCCCGCGUUGGAUUAGCUAGUUGGUAGGGUAAAAGCCUACCAAGGCGACGAUCCAUAGCUGGUCGGAGAGGAUGAUCCGCCACACUGGGACUGCGACACGGCCCAGACUCCUACGGGAGGCAGGAGUGGGGAAUAUUGGACGAUGGGCGCAAGCCUGAUCCAGCAACGCCGCGUGAGUGAUGAAGGCCUUAGGGUUCUAAAGCUCUUUUAGCCGGGAUGAGAAUGACAGUACCGGGAGAAUAAGCUCCGGCUAACUCCGUG
rnacentral:rRNA from 1 species